rnacentral:rRNA from 1 species
UAGGGAAUCUUCCACAAUGGACGCAAGUCUGAUGGAGCAACGCCGCGUGAGUGAAGAAGGUUUUCGGAUCGUAAAGCUCUGUUGUUGGUGAAGAAGGAUAGAGGUAGUAACUGGCCUUUAUUUGACGGUAAUCAACCAGAAAGUCACGGCUAACUACGUGCCAGCAGCCGCGGUAAUACGUAGGUGGCAAGCGUUAUCCGGAUUUAUUGGGCGUGAAGCGAGCGCAGGCGGUUGCUUAGGUCUGAUGUGAAAGCCUUCGGCUUAACCGAAGAAGUGCAUCGGAAACCGGGCGACUUGAGUGCAGAAGAGGACAGUGGAACUCCAUGUGUAGCGGUGGAAUGCGUAGAUAUAUGGAAGAACACCAGUGGCGAAGGCGGCUCUCUGGUCUGCAACUGACGCUGAGGCUCGAAAGCAUGGGUAGCGAACAGG